rnacentral:lncRNA from 1 species
UGAAGGAACCAUUUGUAUCGGGUCAGGUGUUAUCUUGGAGUCAUGGGACGAUCAGUGUUUCCCUGUUUGUGCCAAAGCUCUUCAACUCGCAGCUGUGGAAGACAAAACCAAACUUGGGAAACCUGUUAAAAUCAUGACGAUGCCAGUUACCACAUCUGUUGAGGCUGAGCCAGGAGAGUCAAGUGGAGAAGAAAGGCUUGUCAAUGCAUGAAACAGAGGAGAUUGUGUAGUAUUCUGAAGAAGCGACUUGAAGAGUUGAAAAAUCGAGAAGCAGAUGUUGCUAGAGGAUAAGAUGACUAAUUUUAUUUAGGAAAAACACUUGUCAGUUGUAAACAUUUGAUAGUUUGUUUUAUCUUCUUAUAUAUGGUGGCUUCAAGCUACGUCAUUGGCUCUCAGUGGUGGCCUCAUGGGAGAUCAUUUGUUGAUCAUCUUGGUGAUUGCAACUAUAACAAUGCAAGUACUGAUUCAAUCGUCUGAGUCACAACGUUCACCUCUUGCCAAGAGACCUCUACAAAGAACAGCUUAUGUGUGCAAAGGAGAAAAUAAACAUCUGUUAAAGCCAGUGAUUCACGCAGCCUUGUUCCUUUGCUCAGCUUCAAAUGAUAUCACAUAUGUAUCAAUAUAACCAAAAUUAGUAUUAUGAUUAGUCAUAUAUAUUUUCAACAUACAUAUUACAUGAUUUUUUUAGAUAGAAUAUCAAUCAAUUCAUAGGUUUCAUUUUUUUUAGAGUAUUAUUGAGAGUAUUAUUGUAAUUUUAAAAUCACAUAUUUUAAAAGAUCUUAAUCACAUAUUUUAAAAUUACAGUAAGGGCAAUUUUCUCAAAUAGCUUUUUUUAAGUUUUUGUCACAAAAAUAGAUCUCAAGAAAGAAAAUGACCAAAAUAGCAUCUUUUUAUUUUGAAAAUUUUAAUUUUAUUUUUUUAUUUUUUUUUAAAUUUGAAACUUUAUCUCCAAAACCCCACCCGUUAACUCUAAACCCUAAGUCUAGAUUAGUUAAGCCAAAGGUAAAAAUACAAUUUUAUCCUUUAAUAAAACUUAUUUUUGUCAUUUUCUUCAUUGAGAGCUAUUUUUGUGACAAAAACUUAAAAAUGACUAUCUUAAGAAAUUUCUCUUACAAUAAUAUUCAAUUUUUUUCUUGAGAGUAUUAUUGUAAUUUUAAAAUAUGUGAUUAAGAUCUUUUAAUUUAGACAAAUAUAUUUUGUAAGAUAAAAUAGUAUCUAUAUGCAUACUUUUUCAUAAUAAUCAUUUGCCUUUUUGUUUAUAGCAAUAUCCAAAGUUAACAAAAACCACCGAUUCGAAUAGCCAGACUGGAGGAACACAAUCGACAUACAACAAAGAAGAAUGAGAACUACGAGCACCACGUGUAAGUUUAUCCACUAAUGAAUUUUAUGCUUUCGAUAUUUGUCUGAUCGAGAAAAUAGAUAAAAUUCCUUAUAUCGUUCUAAUUUAUCCAUGUGAUUAGUAAAAGCUGGUCAUUCUUCAGGUGUUAAUACCACUUUCACCAAUUGAAAACAAUCUGUCUCCAAAAUCACCUAUGAGAAUUGUAGGGUAUUCGUACCUCAAUGGCCAAAAUCAAAACAUCACAUUCUGCAUGUAAAGGUGAUAAGUUUUGCCAUAUAUAUAUCGCCACAUCAUAUGAUCAUCCGAGUCUAUGGUUCUGCAAAACCAUCAUUGACUUGUAAAUUGAUCUUGUUCUCUCCAUGCCCCAAAAAUAUAAAAACAUUUGGUAGCCCUAUCAGAUCCCUCAAAGAAAUUGGACAAAUAUCCCCUUGUUCAUUUGACACUAUAAGUUGUGCCUCUAUCCAUAAUGAUCUUUCAGUUUCCAUUGUACAAAAAGAUUUUCUGUGGGUUUCCAUUCUUUUUAUAGAGCUUGUCAUUUAUAUUCUUCCAAAUCUACCACGUAAUCCAUGAAAAAUAAUUGAAGAGUCUCCAAAAAAGAUAAUCAAUGUUGGAAAAAACUCCAAGGUUCGAAAGUAUAUAGGAGAGAGAGCCCAUAUUUGUAAUGCUGGUGCGCAUUAAAAGAUAACAUGAUUGAUUCUUUAUCCGCUCCAAAUAUACUACACCGCUUAUUACAAUUAAUACCAUGUGAUCACAAAUUUUUAGUGACAUAUAAACUGGCCGAUAUUAUUUGCCAAAUAAAAUGCCUAAACUUUGGUGAAUAUUUUAAUUUCCACACAAAGGUCAAUAAAUGUUUGUUUUAAUUAGUCCAUAUAAUUUCAUCCAUGUUCCCUUAUCUGGAUAGAAUUUCUCCGUUUUAUAUCUUGAUUUAACCGUAUACUUACCUGGUACUGUAAAAUGUCAACUAUAAAAAACUAUAAAAAUCUGGUUUAUGGUUAGGACUUAUGGCCAAAAUUUUGAUGAUUUUCAUAACUUUUGGAUGUAUAUAUGCAUUAAGAAACUCCAUAUUCCAAGAGACAUCCACUGGAUUAAUGAGAUGUUCCACCUUUAAUAAGUGGUGUAAAUAUUGAUAUUGAUGUUUUGAUAUUGCUAAUCUCAGGAAUAGAAAUCCAAGGAUUAUUCCACAUUGAGAUAGAUUUCCCUAUACCUUCUCUUAUGAUUAGUUUUUUUAACCAGAGAUUUAGCAGAACAUAUACUUUUUCAACCAAAUGAUGGUGAGUAUGAUCUGUGUUGAUCCAAAUGAUAUGUCUUCCUAAAAAACUUCCUUUAUAAACCCUCGAAACUAAAGAUUUUGGCUUGUUUAUCAAUCUCCAAAAUUGUUUUGUCAAUAAAGUUGUAUUAAAUUCUUGAAAGUCGCGAAAACCCAACUCUCCUUCUUAGACUAUGUACAUUUGUUCAGUUUUUUCAACAUCAUAUUUUUUACUUUUACCAUUUCAUGUCAUUCUCUUUUUCCUUCCACAUCAUUAGUCAAUAUCUAUUUUUAUUUCAUAUUUAAUAUUUUUAUAUUUUGUAACUAAAAAAUAACAGAUAGAAACAUAAAAACUACUAAAAUUAAAUAAUUAUUAAUUUACAUCAAAAUCAUUAGAAUUGAAAUGUUAUGAUAUGUUUUAGGAAAAAAUAUUAAAAAUAUAAACAAAACUUUACUGAAAAUACUUAAAAACUUAUGAUAAUUUUUUUUGUAUAUGUCCAAAUCAUAUAAAACUAGUCUCUAUUUGUAGAUCACAAAAAAUAAAGAAUUCUUGUAGAAAAUAAUAAAAUAAAUAAAUUAAACUAUUGUAGAAUAAAUUACUUAAAACAAUGAAGGUGAAUACAAAAAAAAAAAAUCUUUAUCAUCAAUAAUCAAUAAAAGAGCAAUAGACACUCUUGUGGACCCCAGUUUUGUGGUUCCAACCUAUUGAAAAAAUUCCACACUAAAUAAUACACGUAAAGCAUCCAAUUUUUUCAACAGGUUCAAUGUAAGCCAUUCAACAGUUGAAUUAAAAAUUCAACAGGCCAUUUACGAUGGCCUUAUUAAUGCUCCACCAAAAAUAUGCAAGUACACUUGUUAGUUUUUUGUUAGUGUUUUAGGAAGUCUAGAGCAUGACAUAAUAUGUGUUGGCAUCACUGAUGCUACAUAUUUUAAAGUUACUCAUUUUCCUCUUUUCGUAAGAAACCGAACUGUCAAACUAUUCACUUCAUUAUUUAUCAUUUAAUUUAGAUAACCGCAGAUUUUUUGUUUUUGAUCCACCCAUACUUUCUGGGAUGCUCAAAUAAUUACCCAUACCAUCCAAUGUAGUAAUGCCGAGUUGGUUUUGAAUCACGACUUGUAAGACUUCUGGGACCUUAUGUCCAAAUUGUAUGGAAGAUUUUGUAAAAUUUAUUUGUUGACUUGAUACUGACUUACAGUCUGUAACUACCCCACACUCCUCCAUAGUAGCCAUGCAGAAGAGUAAUUUUUUCAUUCGGAAAUAGUAAACUAGAGAUCUUUGGACUCCCUUUUGCUAUUUUGAGCUUUGUUAAACGUUUUUCAUGUUCUUUUGUUAGAUGGACCAACUUAUUUCUUUAAUAAUUUUAAAAAUCAUCCUGGUGAUGACACGUGAUUACAAAAAAUGUCCUAAUAUUUCACAAAUAAUAUAUAGGGGAUAGGGGAUAUUGCAAAAUAGAGCGGCUGAGACAACCAACCCCUCCGGCUAGAACUCAUCGAUUCCCGAUGUUCUCGACGGUUAUGAAGCCUUUACUAUCUCCGUCACCGUCGCUGUUUCGCCUUCCUCCCCUUUCUUCUUCUCUCUCACUCUUCUUUCGCGUUUUCCCCUUCUCCUCCUCCUCCUCCUCUCACUUUCAUUCCCCUCAUCCGAUUACGCCUCUCCGUUCCUCCCGCCGCAACUAUACUCGCCACCACGCCUCUCUCUCCGACCACUACCUCUCAUGCUCCGUCCCCGAGAAGCCCCUUCGUGUAGCCGUCCUCCUCAGCGGCGGCGUCGAUAGCAGCGUUGCCCUCCGCCUCCUCCACGCCGCUGGACACUCCUGUACCGCUUUCUACCUCAAAAUCUGGUUCCAGGUCUGUGUCUGCUUCUUCAUCUCAUGUCUCUGUCUAGAAACAUGGGUUUGUGAUGUUUCUAAUGUUCUGUAGGAAGGCUUUGAGAAUUUCUGGAACCAGUGCCCCUGGGAAGACGACUUGAAAUACGCAAAGCAUGUCUGUGAGCAGGUACUGUUCCUGGUCAAACCCUGUGACUAUGUUCUUGAUUUUUAGAUUAUGUUUUAUUAGAAAAGGUUCAUACUUUAUAUACUUCACUGGAAGAUAUGUUCACUGCUUAUUCGAAAAGGUUCAUACUUUAUAUACUUCACUGGAAGAUAUGUUUACUGCUUAUUCAAAAAGGUUCAUACUUUAUAUACUUAGAGCAAUUGAAAGGAUGAUGUUUACUGCUUGUUCAAAAAGAUUCAUACUUUAUAUACUUAAGAGCAAUGAAAGGAGUGCUUCUUGUGGUGUCAUUUUUACAGGUUGGUGUACCUUUAGAGGUUGUGCAUUUAACAGAUGAAUACUGGGAGUUGUAAGUUCUUUUUUGUUUCAUUGCUUCUUCUUUUUUUUAGAGUUGCCUAAUGGUUUAGGUUUUCUGAUUGGAUUUUUUUCGGUGACAUGUCAGGUUUCUUACAUUAUUGAGGAGUACAAAUGUGGGCGUACACCUAACCCGGAUGUUCUGUGUAAUACUAGAAUCAAGUUUGGUAAGCUCAUGAAAAGACUUGUGCUUUUAGUUGAAGUGUGUGUGCCACUUUGACUAAUCAGCUAUAUCUUAAUAGGGGCAUUCAUGGAUGCAAUCAGUGAUAUGGAGUAUGAUUACGUAGCUUCAGGUCAUUAUGCCAAAGUUGCCCAUCCUGCUGCUGGUGGUCCAUCUGUUUUGGAACUCUCACAAGACAUGGUACUUCAAUUAACACUCAUCACUUAAUCUGCCUUUAGUUUUCUGAUCAGCAUGUUUUAGAGAUAAUGUUACUUACUUGUUGGGUGUAAUAUUUGCAUUUGUAUGCUACUAAUGCUUCUUAGGUACAUUGCUUUGGUGUUUAUAGGUGAAAGAUCAGACGUACUUCCUCUCACAUCUCUCUCAAACCCAGCUUAAGCGACUCCUGUUCCCACUUGGUUGCGUAAAGAAGGUAUUCAAACCUCUCAGCCAUUUUGAAAACGUAUUAAAAAAAAAACAAUUUGUUUUAUUAGUGGUUAUCUUUAUGCUUGCCUGCCUUUGUUAUCUGAUGUAUAGGAAGAAGUUCGCAAACUAGCCACACAAUUUGAUUUGCCAAAUAAAGACAGAAAAGAUUCACAAGGAAUAUGUUUCCUUGGGAAGGUAAUUGUUCUUCUUCUGGUUCACAACAGCUUUACCUAGUACAAGCCUGAAACAUAUGAAAAUAUGGCGUUCUGUAAUAGAUAAAGUUCAGCGACUUUGUCGGAACACACAUAGGAGAGAAGGAAGGGAUCAUACUGGAAGCUGAAACUGGUGACUUCCUCGGUAACCAUAAGGGAUUUUGGUUUUACACUAUUGGACAGCGUCAAGGCCUGCGUUUACCCGGUGGACCAUGGUAUGUUGUUGAAAAGGACACCAAGAACAAUGUAGUGUUUGUCUCGAGAGAUUAUUACUCAAUCGACAAGAGAAGGAGGGUUUUCCGUGCUGGAUCCUUAAGGUGGCUUAGUGGGAAACCGUUAGUCAAUAUUAGCCAGCUUCGUUGCAAGGUAAAAAAGAAUAUGAUCGGUUACUUUUUCUACACAUGAUGGCUACAUGAUACUGAUAAGUUGAGUUUAUAGGUAAGGCAUGGACCUGGCUUCUAUAGCUGCAGCUUUGAAAUGGAAGCAGAAGGAGAUGUUGCGGUUGUUCACUUAGAUGAAGACGACCAAGGUCUAGCUGCUGGACAGUUUGCAGCUUUCUAUGAAGGAACCAUUUGUAUCGGGUCAGGUGUUAUCUUGGAGUCAUGGGACGAUCAGUGUUUCCCUGUUUGUGCCAAAGCUCUUCAACUCGCAGCUGUGGAAGACAAAACCAAACUUGGGAAACCUGUUAAAAUCAUGACGAUGCCAGUUACCACAUCUGUUGAGGCUGAGCCAGGAGAGUCAAGUGGAGAAGAAAGGCUUGUCAAUGCAUGAAACAGAGGAGAUUGUGUAGUAUUCUGAAGAAGCGAC